GGAGGGGUCGCAUAGUUGGUCUAGUGCGCGCGACUCGAAAUCGCGUAACCCGCAAGGGUUCGAGGGUUCGAAUCCCUCCCCCUCCGCCA
rnacentral:tRNA from 1 species